CCUCAAAGAGGGGGACAACAGUUGGAAACGACUGCUAAUACCGCAUACGAUCUAAUCUCGGCAUCGAGGAUAGAUGAAAGGUGACCUCUACAUGUAAGCUAUCACUGAAGGAGGGGAUUGCGUCUGAUUAGCUAGUUGGAGGGGUAACGGCCCACCAAGGCGAUGAUCAGUAGCCGGUCUGAGAGGAUGAACGGCCACAUUGGGACUGAGACACGGCCCAG
rnacentral:rRNA from 1 species